UACGGGGGGGGCAAGCGUUGUUCGGAAUUACUGGGCGUAAAGGGCUCGUAGGUGGCCAACUAAGUCAGACGUGAAAUCCCUAGGCUCAACCUAGGAACUGCGUCUGAUACUGGAUGGCUUGAAUCCGGGAGAGGGAUGCAGAAUUCCAGGUGUAGCGGUGAAAUGCGUAGAUAUCUGGAGGAAUACCGGUGGCGAAGGCGGCAUCCUGGACCGGCAUUGACGCUGAGGAGCGAAAGCCAGGGGAGCAAAGCGGG
rnacentral:rRNA from 1 species